GAUGAACGCUGGCGGCGUGCCUAAUACAUGCAAGUCGAGCGAACAGACGAGGAGCUUGCUCCCCUGACGUUAGCGGCGGCCGGGUGAGUAACACGUGGAUAACCUAUCUAUAAGACUGGGAUAACCUAGGGAAACCGGCGCUAAUACCGGAUAAUAUAUUGAACCGCAUGGUCCAAUAGUGAAAGACGGUCUUGCUGUCACUUAUAGAUGGAACCGCGCCGCAUUAGCUAGUUGGUAAGGUAACGGCUUACCAAGGCAACGAUGCGUAGCCGACCUGAGAGGAUGAUCAGCCGCACGUGAGCGGAGACGCGCAGCAGAAUCGGACGUGAGGCAGCAGUAGGGAAUCUUCCGGAGUGGGCGGAAGCCUGUCGUAGCAACGGCGCGUGAGUGAUGAAGGGCUACGCAGCGUGAAUCUCUGUUGUUAGAGGAUAGCAAAGGUGUAAGUAACGAUACGCGUCUGGAGGGUACCGAAGCAGAAGGCCACGGCUAACUAGUG
rnacentral:rRNA from 1 species